UACCCAUGUUGCAUUUCUGCUGUUUGGUGUAAAGGUGGACAGUCUGGUUUUGUCAAGACUAUCCUAUUCCCUUCACUGUUGGAAGUGGUCCAUUUGCCCAUUUCAAUGAUCCAGUUCAAAAUAUCCAUUAAAUUCUUUUUCACAUUGCUUAUCUGAGUUGGUGAAGUGUUGAAUAUUAUCCUGUUUUCAGUAGUGAUAGGUCUGGUUUCUACUCUGGAAACAUUUAAAAGGAAUUUUUUUUGUCAUUAAAAAUGGCCUAAUAGAAACUGAAUGUGGGCACUGUCCCCACCAACACCACAGUGCCUGUCCUGAUCCUUUGCAUGUCUCAAAGCACAAAUGCCACAUCUAAAGGGAAUAUAGGGAAGCCAAAAAUCCCUGUCAGGAAGACUACAUGGCCAUAAGCCAAGGGGGUUCUUGUUUUAAUGCGUCAGAGACCUGUUUAGCAUCGGCUGAAGAAAACUGAGGGGAAGAAAACAGGUACUGACAUUGGAUGUAUGGACUGCAGAGUAAACUGGCGAGAGGUCCAAUCUGUAAGAUCCAUCUCGAAACUAUAAAAAAACCCCACCACUGAUGGUGUCAGGCUGCAAAAUGGCAUCAGCUUCUGCAAUGCCAGCGGGGCAGCUGGGAGGCAGCUGUCAGCUGGGUGGAGAGCUCCACCAGUCUCUGCAGGCUGCUGGGGAAACUGGACCUGAGCCUGCUGACUUCAAGUCGUGUAUUAAUAAUUGAUAUUGAAAAUCCACUACAGUAAGUAGCAGGUGAUAGAAAGUUUUCUUCAUUCUCGCAAACUGUUAUCCCCCCACAUAUGUAUUUCAUGAAGCAUGGGAACCCAUAAACUUUAAGUUUAGUUUCCAUUACUCAUUGUUUUAGUUUUACAUAGUCAUUUUUCUUGCCUAAAUGGAGCAGUCUUCUGCUUAACAUUGUGCGAUAGACCUAAUUUCUUUCUGUGGCCUGCUCACCUUGGAGGCAAGGUCACAGCUUGCUGAUCUAGCAAGCCCUGAUUUUUCUUUUCCCCACCCCCAAUCACACAAAAUAGUUUCUCAAACAUACCUGCGUCAUGACCUCGAUUUUGAUAAUCAGUCUGAUUAAAGAAAUAGUUUUCACAGAGAGAAAGAGGCAGCUAUGGGGAGGUUCUGCUCUUUUCAGCCCUGUUAGCACAGGAACAGAACAAACCACAACCUGCAAAGCACUGCAGGCAACCCAAGGUGUGAUGCAGAGCCCUCAGCCAAUAAAAUGCAAGAAUUUGUGGGAUAAUGGCAUAAUAGAAGCAAAACUAUUAAUUUUUAAAUGAGUGCCUUCCUCUGGGCUGCAGUGGAAGGAACAUCUACCUGCCAGGGGGAUCCUUGACAUUAAAACAAGCAUUAAGGGAUGUUUCUUUGCAUGGAGGUAAUGUCUGAACUCCUGUCAUUGAACUUCAAAUGUUGUGGGUCCAACUCUGUUUUCAUUUUGUGCAAAAAAAAUCUUGUUGAAAGAAUAAAAAACAAGUGGUUGCGUGUAGGAGGCUGAAGCACUGCUCUGUGUGAAUCUUCAGGGCUCAACAGGAGUCAAUAGUUUUAUGUCAAUGCAUAGCAGCUGAGCAUCUGUGCCAGAAACUUUUCUACAUUUCCCUGCCUCAUUGACCUAUGUUGGUCAUGCAUUAUCCCUGCCUCUAGUUUAUUAUGCAAUAAGGGCCAUGCUAAAUAGCAGAAAGGUUGAAAUGUUGUUUAGACUUUGUAUUAUAGAAGUUCACAGCAGCCCCCGUCUGUCAUACUUAAAGAGCAAGGAAGUCUUGCCAAAGAGAUGCUUCACGGGCGAUCUCACCAGAGCAUCCUUGCGCACAGCCAGGCAAAGCUGGACUCUUUUCCCUUGCUCCAUCGGCAAUGGCUGCAGUCAGCCCCUCUCUGCCUGCUUACUGGGUGGAGUGAAGACAACAAAGCCAUCUCCAUGGUUGCAGGUCCUCUCUGCCCUUGUUGAGUCAGGAUGCUCUGCCGCAUGGUCCUCCAUGCUGAGCAGUGCCUUUCUCUGCUGAGCUCACUCUUCUGCCCUCCCCAAAGACUUUGUGCUGUUCUUGUGCAUGAUGUAUCAACUUCUGACCCUGUCUUGGCUACUGCCUUGCAGGGGACUUGAGAGAUCCUGCUGCUGCCUGUUCUGCAAAUUUUGGAUGAAGCGUAAGACCUGAGCUUUGGGUGUUCUUGCUCAAGCAGCUGGUGAAGGCGUCCUCCUACCCUCGAGCAGGUUAUGACCAUGGGGCCUUGGACCCCUUCUGGAAACUUCUGGUGUGGCUGUACCUUGCAGCAUUGGUGCAUUUGUCUCUGAAGGGUCCUGUAAAGCCAGAAUCUCCAGGACCUGCCAUAGAGUCUCACCACAGGCUAUUUUUUUUUAAGUACAAAGAAGUCCUCCUUGGUACCUAUCUGUCUGUCCAAACCUGCGGUGAAGUCCUGGAAGAUGAUGGCACCUUCUGCACCUGUUGGCUUAGGGUUUCUGUUUGAGUGUGGGUUAUGAUGGAGUUAGCUCUGCCAAGCUCCUCCAGCACUAUCUCAGCACUGCCCUCCUGAUUUGCACUGGUGGGUUGGAAUAGGGCAUUCACCUUCCCCUGUCUCUGCUUCUGGCACUGGUGAGGCUGCUUGGUGGGGCACUGUCUUGGGUUGCGUGGCCAGGUUUUGGUAGCAGGGGGGCUACAGGGGUGGCUUCUGUGAGAAGCUGCUGGAAGCUUCCCCUGUGUCCAACAGAGCCAAUACCAGCCGGCUCUAAGACAGACCCGCUGCUGGCCAAGGCCGAGCCCAUCAGUGACGGUGGUAGUGCCUCUGAGAUAACGUAUUUAAGAAGGGAAAAAAAAGUUGCUGCAGCACAGAAACUGCAGCCAGAGAGAGGAGUGAGGACAUGUAAGAGAAACAGCCCUGCAGACACCCAGGUCAGUGAAGAAGGAGAGGGAGGAGAUGCUCCAGGCACCGGAGCAGAGAUUCCCCUGCAGCCCGUGGUGAAGACCAUGGUGAGGCAGGCUGUCCCCCGGCAGCCCAGGGAGGUCCACGGUGGAGCAGAUAUCCACCUGCAGCCCGGGGAGGACCCCACGCUGGAGCAGAGGGAUGCCCAAAGGAGGCUGUGACCCCAUGGGAAGCCCACACUGGAGCAGGCUCCUGGCAGGACCUGUGGACCCGUGGAGAGAGGAGCCCAUGCUGCAGCAGGUUUGCUGGCAGGACCUGUGACCCCACAGGGGACCCAUGCUGGAGCAGUCUGUGCCUGAAGGACUGCAGCCUGUGGGAAGGACCCACAUUGGAGAAGUUCGUGGAGGACUGUCUCCCGUGGGAGGGACCCCAUGGUGGAGCAGGGGAAGAGUGUGAGGAGUCCUCCCCCUGAAGAGGAAGGAGCAGCAGAGACAACAUGCGAUGAACUGUCCACAACCCCCAUUACCCAUUCCCCUGCACUGCUGGUGAGGAGGAGUUGGAGAAAAUCAGGAGUAAAGUUAAGCCCAGGAAGAAGGGAGGGUGGGGGGGAAGGUGUUUUACAAUUUAGUUUUUAUUUUCUCAUUAUCCUACUCUGAUUUGAUUGGCAAUAAAUUAAACUAAUUUCCCCAAGUCGAGUCUGUUUUGCCCAUGAAGUGGCAAAAUUCAUAACUGGUGAAUGAUCUCUCCUGUCCUUAUCUCGACCCAUGAGCCUUUUGUUAUAUUUUCUCUCCCCUGUCCAGCUGAGUGGGGGAGUGAUAGAGCAGCUUUGGUAGGCACCUGACAUCCAGCCAGGGUCAACCCACCACAGGCAUCAAAGGCUGGGAGUGAAGUAUGUUACUGCCUUCAUGUUUUUUUUCCACCUGGUUUUGGUACCUGACUUUGGUGGAGAGGAUUUUGCCCUCGUUCCUGAGGGCUGCCCACCUUUGUCAGUUCCCAUGGAUGUGGUCUGAUGGACUUCCCAAGGAGAUGCAGAUAUCUGCUUACUGCAAAAGGGGCAUCUUCCAUGUCUGUUUGGAUCAAGGGUGAACAAAAUCUCCUGUUCUUCAAGGGACAUUCAGGACAGCCUGUGUAAAAUUGGCAUCUCCUGUAAUGCCACAGAGGGAAGCAAUGUUUCUAACCCUUCCUUCCCUGUUUUUUUGCCUCUACGGCUGUUUGCCACAGAUCUCCUGCCUCCCUUUCAUGGUGGCAGUGCUGCAGGUCAUACUCAAUAUCUGCAAGUUUGUGUUGUCCCUGUGGUCCUUGAGGUGCAGCUUGUGCAUGAGAGACUGUUUUGUGCUCCUGAGUUUGCAGGACUGAUUUACGCCUGGCCACCAGCUAUGCCCAUCAGUGUCAUUGCUGGCUCUUGACCUGCUGACUGUUCAUGUUCCCAUCUGGCUUGCCUGCAGGCUCAUGGGUGUCCUGGAGAUGAUGGCAACAGGCUGUAACUAUCUUGAAUACAGGAUCCUACCACUUCCUUACCUGGAUGGCUGUGACAAAAUUGGUAAAACAUAAAAGCCUCUUGGAUCCUGCUUAUGGACUCUCUCUUCCUGCUGGCUGCAAAAGACUUGGAACGGGUCAAACCAUAGACCCUCAAAAGUCCAGAGUAUUGGUCCCUGCACGAAGCGUCCUUACCUUGAGCUACAGUAUGGUCAUGCUUGAAUUGUUCUGAUACGCAAUGUAGACGAUGGAGUCGCUCUGCAGGAUAGGCAGUGUAUUGUGCAUCUUCCAGCGAAGACCUGGUUUUUGGCCAGAGUUCAAGACAGGAUCUUGGGUUUAGUGGAUUUGCACCAAUACAGCGAUUUUUGUGUUCUUCUGACACAGGAAAUCAAAGAGACGUUCCCUUGUGAAGACGGAUGUAAUGAGCAAGGCUUCGUGCAUGAGUGAUUUCUGCUUUACAUCCUGAUUCAAGCUAAACAUUUAAUGAUGAAGCCCGGAGUUCAGAAAUUGAAGGAUGGAAAAAUAAAAACCCCAAACUUG